rfam:Tilletiaria anomala TBC 951 K437scaffold_17, whole genome shotgun sequence.
GCGUCGUUCGUCCAAGGGUUUAAGAUAGCUGCCUUCCAAGCAUGUGAACAGCAGCAGAUUCGGGUUCGAGUCCCGGACGACGCA